CCUACGGGAGGCAGCAGUGAGGAAUAUUGGUCAAUGGGCGCGAGCCUGAACCAGCCAAGUCGCGUGAGGGAAGACGGUCCUAUGGAUUGUAAACCUCUUUUGUCGGGGAGCAAAAGACGCCACGCGUGGCGUUCCGAGAGUACCCGAAGAAAAAGCAUCGGCUAACUCCGUGCCAGCAGCCGCGGUAAUACGGAGGAUGCGAGCGUUAUCCGGAUUUCUUGGGUUUAAAGGGGGCGCAGGGGGGAGAUCAAGUCAGUGGUAAAAUGGUGAGGCUCAACCCGGACGAGCCGUUGAUACUGGUGGUGUGGAGUGAGGGAGAGGUAGGCGGAAGGCGUGGGGUAGCGGUGAGAUG
rnacentral:rRNA from 1 species